GAUGAACGCUAGCUACAGGCUUAACACAUGCAAGUCGAGGGGCAGCAUUGAGAUAGCUUGCUAUUUCAGAUGGCGACCGGCGCACGGGUGAGUAACGCGUAUCCAACCUUCCCCUUAGUAGAGGAUAGCCCGGCGAAAGUCGGAUUAAUACUCUAUGUUGUAUUUUGAGGACAUCUGACGAAUACCAAAGAUUUAUCGCUAAGGGAUGGGGAUGCGUCUGAUUAGCUUGUUGGCGGGGUAACGGCCCACCAAGGCUACGAUCAGUAGGGGUUCUGAGAGGAAGGUCCCCCACAUUGGUACUGAGACACGGACCAAACUCC
rnacentral:rRNA from 1 species